GUUUGUUUCCCUCCCUGAUGGUUUGAAGAUGAAACCAACAGGAAGCUGAGUUGAGAUGGCAUGCGUCCCUGUAGCAUGCUCUUCAACCGGAGGAGUGAGACGGUUGUGUUCCAGCUGGUGCAGAACUGAAAUGUGGUCUGAGAUCCGUCUGUCCUUGUGACCCUUGUCCAUUUGAUAGUUACCAGGCAUGAGUUUGACAGUACUGCCAGGAGAGACCCAGCCUCGGAGAAGCUCCACCGCAUGUCGGCAGAGCCGGGAUGCUGAGCACCUCUGCCCGCGCUGGCUCUCACUGGCGCAGAGCAAAUGACCAUGCUCACGUUCAGCAGCUCAUCAGACUGUAGCGACUCAGUCCCGUGGCCAAGUGUGACAGCAUGUGUGUGCCACGUGGGGACAUGCAGCAGGAAAACGUAACGCCAGGGAAAAAAAGGAAAAGCAGCUUCCCCCAGUCAUCUGGAGACRCCCUGCAGAUGCUCCAUCCCUGCUCUCUGCCCUGCUGCACUCCAGCCCCAUGGCCUGAGAUAGCCUGGCGUCUCCAGGAGAGGAGAAAGUUAAUCUCCCCUGCGCACACUGGAGGCACGGGACCUCUCGCUGCUGGACCGCYGUGGUGGUACCCAGAGGCACCUUCCUGCACGCUGAGCCUCGCUGCCGUGAUGCGUUUGGGGAGAGGCUGCAAAUCUGCACUGCGCAAGUGUCCUGCAGCUCUUGGAGUGGCGGCGUCCGAGCACAGCAGCGCAGGGUCACGUGUAAUAUCUGCGAGUCCAGCACAACGCAGAGCACUCCAUCGGCCAGGCCUGCCACCGGGAGCCGGUCAUGUGCUGCAGACGCUUGAGGUGAUGUAG
rnacentral:lncRNA from 1 species